GAUGAAGAACGAGCGAAAUGCGAUACGUAAUGUGAAUUGCAGAAUUCAGUGAAUCAUCGAAUCUUUGAACGCAUAUUGCGCUCUCUGGUAUUCCGGAGAGCAUGCUUGUUUGAGUAUCAGUAAACACCUCAACUCCCUUUUCUUUUUUGAAAUUGGAGCUGGACUUGAGUGAUCCCAACGCUUUCUUCCAAGAAAGUGGCGGGUUGCUUGAAAUGCAGGUGCAGCUGAACUUUUCUCUGAGCUAUAAGCAUAUCUAUUUAGUCUGCCUAAAAAACAGAUUAUUACCUUUGCUGCAGCUAACAUAAAGGAGACUAGUUCUUGUGCUGACUGAUGCAGGAUUCACAGAGACAGCUUCGGCUGACUUUGUAAACUCGAUCUCAAAUCAAGUAAGACUACCCGCUGAACUUAAGCAUAUCAAUAAGCGGAGGA
rnacentral:misc_RNA from 1 species